CCUACGGGAGGCAGCAGUCGGGAAUAUUGGACAAUGGGGGAAACCCUGAUCCAGCCAUGCCGCGUGUGUGAAGAAGGCCCUAGGGUUGUAAAGCACUUUUAGUAGUGAGGAAGGCUCAGCAGUUAAUACCUGUUGGGAUUGACGUUAGCUACAGAA
rnacentral:rRNA from 1 species